rnacentral:rRNA from 1 species
GACAGAGGUCCCGAGCGUUAUGCGGAAUCACUGGGCUUAAAGCGUGUGUAGGCGGAUUUGUAAGUCCCUUGUGAAAUCCCACAGCUCAACUGUGGAACUGCUUGGUAUACUGCUUAUCUUGGGCCAUCUAGGGGCUAACGGAACAAGUGGUGGAGCGGUGAAAUGCGUAGAUAUCGGGAGGAACACCAGUGGCGAAGGCGGUUGCCUGGAGCUUUGCUGACGCUGAUGCGCGAAAGCGUGGGGAGCGAUCCGG